GGGAUGGCUCAGAGGUUAAGAGCACUGGCUGAUCUUCAGAGGUACUGGGUUCAAUUCCCAGCUCCCA
rnacentral:tRNA from 1 species